CAGACACACAGGCGGCGAGACGUCAA
rnacentral:piRNA from 1 species